rnacentral:lncRNA from 1 species
AUGGUCAUACUGGACCACCUGGGAAAAAUGGACAGGAUGGAUAUGCGGGUCCUCCUGGGCCAACAGGGCCUGCAGGACCACCUGGUGCUGAUGGAGCCAAGGGGCUCAAAGGAGACAGAGGUCCUUCAGGAGCACCUGGAGAUAAAGGUGAAAAGGUAUUGUCAAUCUUCCAUUUUCACCAUAAAUAGGCUGAAUAUAUAUAUAAUACAUAUUAAAUUUGACAUCCCACGAUUAUUUAUCAUUAUACCACAUCUUUCUCUCAUUGAUUUGUAUUUUCCCAGGGCCCCCCAGGGCCUCCUGGUUAUCCAGGGGCCGCAGGAAAUAUGGGUCAGCCUGGUAAUGAUGGAAACCCUGGCCCUAUCGGACCACCUGGAGCUCCUGGAGAAAAGGCAAGGCUAAAGUUUUUUUGUUCUGUCAUUUGAAUGUGUAUUAGUUAGAUGGAUUGCAAGACUGGAAUCCGGCCACGUUAUUAAUAACUGAAUGUGUUUUACCAGGGUAAAGAUGGACUUCAGGGUAUUCAGGGACCACCUGGUCUUCCAGGUCUAAUGGUGUGUAAUUUAAUAAUUUUGUAAAAAUGUCUGUACAUUUUUUUAGUACAAAUACACUACGGUUCAAAAGUUUAAGGUUGGUAAGAUUAUAAAAUGCUUUCGUAAGAAGUUUCUUAUGCUCACCAAGGUUGCAUUUAUUUGAUCAAAAACACAGUAAAAAAUAAAUAUUGACAUAUUAUUACAAUUCAAAAUAAGUGUUUUACAGUGUAUUUUUCAGCAGCCAUGGCUCCAGUCUUUAGUUUCACAUGAUCCUUCAGAAAUCAUUCUAAUAUGCUGAUUUAGUGCUCAAGGAACAUUCCGUAUUCAUAUUCUUAUCAAUGUUUAAUAAUUUUGUGAAAUCCAUGAUUUUAAUUCAGGAUUGUUUGAUGAAUACAACAACAGCAUUUGUUUGAAAUAAAAAA